rnacentral:rRNA from 1 species
AGUCUCGUUCGUUAUCGGAAUGAGAACAAUUCAAAUCCUUUAACGAGGAUCUAGCGGAGGGCAAGUCUGGUGCCAGCAGCCGCGGUAAUUCCAGCUCCGCAGGUGUAUAUCUAUGCUGCUGCGGUUAAAAAGCUCGUAGUUGGAUCUGCGUGCUCGGAACUGGUUGGCUCACUGAGUUCAAACUGGUCUCCGGCGCUUUAUUGGCUGGUUUUCCCUUGAUGCUCUUAACCGGGUGUCUUGGGUGGCUAGCACGUUUACUUUGAAAAAAUUAGAGUGCUCAAUACAGGCGUAAAGCCUUGAAUAGUGGUGCAUGGAAUAAUAGAAUAGGACCUCGGCUCUAUUUUGUUGGUUUUCGGAACGCGAGGUAAUGAUUAAGAGGGACAGACGGGGGCAUUCGUAUUGCGACGUUAGAGGUGAAAUUCUUGGAUCGUCGCAAGACGGACGACUGCGAAAGCAUUUGCCAAGAAUGUUUUCAUUAAUCAAGAACGAAAGUUAGAGGUUCGAAGGCGAUCAGAUACCGCCCUAGUUCUAACCGUAAACGAUGCCAACUAGCGAUUCGCAGGCGUUAAACAACGACCUUGCGGGCAGCUUCCCGGAAACGAAAGUGUUCGGGUUCCGGGGGAAGUAUGGUUGCAAAGCUGAAACUUAAAGGAAUUGACGGAAGGGCACCACCAGGAGUGGAGCCUGCGGCUUAAUUUGACCCAACACGGGAAAACUCACCCGGCCCGGACACCGUAAGGAUUGACAGAUUGAGAGCUCUUUCUUGAUUCGGUGGGUGGUGGUGCAUGGCCGUUCUUAGUUGGUGGAGCGAUUUGUCUGGUUUAUUCCGAUAACGAACGAGACUCUGGCCUACUAAAUAGUGGGCGGAUUCUUUCUGUCCGCAACACUUCUUAGAGGGACAAGCGGUGUUCAGCCGCACGAGAUUGAGCAAUAACAGGUCUGUGAUGCCCUUAGAUGUCCGGGGCUGCACGCGCGCUACACUGAAGGAAUCAGCGUGCUUUCUGACCUUGCCCGAAAGGGCUGGGUAACCCGAUGAAAAUCCUUCGUGAUUGGGAUAGGGACUUGCAAUUAUUUCCCUUGAACGAGGAAUUCCCAGUAAGUGUGGGUCAUAAGCUCGCGUUGAUUACGUCCCUGCCCUUUGUACACACCGCCCGUCGCUGCCCGGAACUGAGCCGUUUCGAGAAGAACAGGGACCGUCGUUGAAGGGCCUUAACGGGCUUUUCUCUGAUAGAAACUGUU